rnacentral:snRNA from 1 species
GUGCUUGCUUUGGCAGAACAUAUACUAAAAUUGGAAUGAUACAGAGAAGAUUAGCAUGGCCCCUGCGCAAGCAUGACACUCAAAUUCGUGAAGCAUUCCAUAUUUUU